CUGGAAUGGCCUUUCCCCCUAGUACCUUGCACUGCUGAUGGCCCUGCUCCUUGUUCUAUCACACUGGGGCCCUAUGUAAGGGGAAAGUAAGUCCAGCUGUGUAAGAUGGCUGCUGCUGCCAUGGAGGACGUGAGCUGGGAUCUCACUUGAGGGAGCAGUGCAGUCACAGCGAUCAGGAUGGCAGCAGGACACAUAUUUCAUACAGUGCUGUACUUCCACAGUGGAUGCAAGACUCAGCAUUGCAGCCUCUGAACACUUAAGGACUUUGCCUUGCUAUUCUGCAUGCAGUGCAGCCUCAUUGUCUGAUGGGAUCUGCUGUGGGUGCAAAGCCUCUGGAAUCUGGCUGAGAUGGAUGUAUAGCUGCAAUAGAAGCAAGUAAUGGUCUUCAAGCAAUGGUGCUGCAGGUGAAGCUGCAAUAAAAGUGUGGGACGAAUGGUAGCUUUAACGAAGUUUGUCAUUGGCAUUUGGCUUAACGAGUUGCUAUAAGCCUUGAC